rnacentral:rRNA from 1 species
CCUACGGGAGGCAGCAGUGGGGAAUAUUGCACAAUGGGCGCAAGCCUGAUGCAGCAACGCCGCGUGAGGGACGAAGGCCUUCGGGUUGUAAACCUCUUUUAGUAGGGAAGAAGCGACUGGGUUUUCCUGGGAGUGACGGUACCUGCAGAAAAAGCACCGGCUAACUACGUGCCAGCAGCCGCGGUAAUACGUAGGGUGCAAGCGUUGUCCGGAAUUAUUGGGCGUAAAGAGCUCGUAGGCGGUUUGUCGCGUCUGCUGUGAAAACCCGAGGCUCAACCUCGGGCCUGCAGUGGGGACGGGCAGACUAGAGUGCGGUAGGGGAGAUUGGAAUUCCUGGUGUAGCGGUGGAAUGCGCAGAUAUCAGGAGGAACACCAAUGGCGAAGGCAGAUCUCUGGGCCGUAACUGACGCUGAGGAGCGAAAGCAUGGGGAGCGAACAGGAUUAGAUACCCUGGUAGUCCAUGCCGUAAACGUUGGGAACUAGAUGUGGGGACCAUUCCACGGUCUCCGUGUCGCAGCUAACGCAUUAAGUUCCCCGCCUGGGGAGUACGGCCGCAAGGCUAAAACUCAAAGGAAUUGACGGGGGCCCGCACAAGCGGCGGAGCAUGCGGAUUAAUUCGAUGCAACGCGAAGAACCUUACCAAGGCUUGACAUAUACCGGAAACGGCUGGAAACAGUCGCCCCGCAAGGUCGGUAUACAGGUGGUGCAUGGUUGUCGUCAGCUCGUGUCGUGAGAUGUUGGGUUAAGUCCCGCAACGAGCGCAACCCUCGUCCUAUGUUGCCAGCACGUAAUGGUGGGAACUCAUGGGAUACUGCCGGGGUCAACUCGGAGGAAGGUGGGGAUGACGUCAAAUCAUCAUGCCCCUUAUGUCUUGGGCUUCACGCAUGCUACAAUGGCCGGUACAAAGGGCUGCGAUACCGCAAGGUGGAGCGAAUCCCAAAAAGCCGGUCUCAGUUCGGAUUGAGGUCUGCAACUCGACCUCAUGAAGUCGGAGUCGCUAGUAAUCGCAGAUCAGCAACGCUGCGGUGAAUACGUUCCCGGGCCUUGUACACACCGCC